UCAGGUCACGGUGGAAUAUUUAGCCAUGCCGAACCAACGGGAGGAUUUGACAUCGUGUGGGAAAAGAUUCAAAAUGUUCUUGAGGAUUUUCAAAGAGGCCAACCAGUCUGCCGGGGUCACAUGGAUGACUUUAGUGUCUACUGUGUGCUUAUUCAACAAACUCUCUCCCCUCCACCC